ACAAAGAGAAUUCACAACAAUAGGCUAAAUAAGUACAUGCUAUAACAUUGUUGGUUAUAUCAUUCUUUCUCACCCUGGUUACAGUUUUCCAGUUCACCAUAGCCAAGUCAAUGGUGUAAUUCAGGUUAUACGAGGCCACCCAUUUUGGGCUGGUACUGUCACCAUAUGUUACGAAAAAGUCGAGCUCAUACAGUCUUCCUAAGUCCACUUGAAGAUAAUGGUUGUCAUUUGAGACAGGAGCACACCAAGAACUACCACUAGAUAUUCUUGCAUCAGAAGCACUGUGACCUUCUGAAGAAGCAGAAGCACUGAAUGAUGAAUCGGGAA